CGCUAUACUAGUCGUUGAAAUUGCUGGCCCGCUCACAAAAUCGGCCAGCUUUUCUUGUGU
rnacentral:sRNA from 1 species